AUAAAAAAAAAAGGUAACUAAUGAGGACAAGAAUUAUUUAAUUUAUUUGGUGGUUUAGCAGGCUUUUAUUGCGACCGGAUACGCGUACUGUUGUUGGAAUUCUGACAUUUGUGAUUGCCUCCUUGGUAACUUUAAAACCAGUGUUUACUUUGGAAGUAAAAUGAAUGGCAGGAGUUUAGUGCCUUCCAUGGAACCAAAGAGUUUGCAGCCCAUGG
rnacentral:lncRNA from 1 species